AGAAUGGCCAGCGACUGCUAACGGGCACAGAGUUUCUUCAUGGCAUGAUGAAGUGUGACAUGUUGUCAUCUUUUUAUCUUACUAGUUUAUGAGCGCCUCAGGAUCAGGACUUGUCCUUUGUGUUUAUAUUUCUUCACUCAGCACAUAGUAUGGUGCUCAGUAAAGUUUUCACUGGCCAGCUGGAAUUACACAUUUGGUUCCUGUAAGUGUGCUACAUUAAUGGCUCCUAAAAUAGCCAUGUCUGUUUGACUUGCCUGUGCAACACUCGGCAUCCAUUUCCCAGAAUGAAACUAGGACACAUCUGGGACACAUGAACAGUUUUAAGACACAUUCCUUCUGAAACACAAAAACUGUAAGUGUAUAUCAAAUAUAAUCAAGCUGAUCAUGCCAAAAAAUUGUAAAGGAUUAAAACUUCAUUAUUACGC